AUUAUUUUCAUAGAACUAUUUUAUAAAAACUAGCAGGUCAUAUAAAAUAUAAAAGUUUUAUGAACAGAUCUCUCUUGUUUUUCAUAUGUCAUAUUUUAUCAUUUUCUGUUUUGUAGAAAAAAAAUCAUGGAAAUUGAAGUAUAAAAAAAAUUAUGGAAAUUAAAGAACAAAUGACAUGUGCUUACUAAAAUAACUUGUAGAAGCACCUUAGGAUAAGAUUCACUAUCUCAGCACU
rnacentral:lncRNA from 1 species